AGAGUUUGAUCCUGGCUCAGGAUGAACGCUAGCGGCAGGCCUAAUACAUGCAAGUCGAACGGUGAUAGCAAUAUCAUAGUGGCGCACGGGUGCGUAACACGUAUGCAACCUACCUAUUAUUGGGGGAUAGCCUUUGGAAACGGAGAUUAAUACCGCAUAAUACGAUUGACUGGCAUCGGUUGAUUGUUAAAGCUUCGGCGAUAAUAGAUGGGCAUGCGUCCAAUUAGUUAGUUGGUUAGGUAACGGCUGACCAAGACGAUGAUUGGUAGGGGAUCUGAGAGGAUAAUCCCCCACACUGGCACUGAGAUACGGGCCAGACUCCUACGGGAGGCAGCAGUAGGGAAUAUUGGGCAAAGGGCGGAAGCCUGACCCAGCCAUGCCGCGUGCAGGAAGAAGGCGUUAUGCGUUGUAAACUGCUUUUUUAUAGGAAGAAGGAUCCCUUGCGAGGGAAGGUGACGGUACUAUAAGAAUAAGCACCGGCUAACUCCGUGCCAGCAGCCGCGGUAAUACGGAGGGUGCAAGCGUUGUCCGGAUUUAUUGGGUUUAAAGGGUGCGUAGGCGGUUUAUUAAGUCAGUGGUGAAAGACGGUCGCUCAACGAUUGCAGUGCCAUUGAUACUGGUAGACUUGAGUGAG
rnacentral:rRNA from 1 species